CACUUAGGCUGCUGCGUGUCACACAAUGACACAGUUAUCUGUUACGUGUCAUGUAACAUGUUCGUUCCUCUUCAUAUAAAAGGAAAAAACCCUAGCUCGCCUUCCUCUUUUUUCUUCCUCUUUUUUUCUUCUUCCCUGACCCUGCUGCAGCGCUGCUGAGUCUCCUACUCUCCUGAGUAAACUUCACAGAUUCACAGAAGUGACAGAAAAAUUAUUAGAUUCAUCUAAAGAUCAAAGACAGUCUUGAAGAGAAAUACAAGAGCGGAUUGAUUUUCUGGGCUCGUGAAGAUCGGAGGAAUACAACAACGAAUUGAUUUUCUGGGUUCGUGAAGAGUGAAUUGAUUUUCUGUUCGAUUAAUAAUAUAUUGGAGUUCUAGUGAAAUCUUUAA